CCACCCCUCAAGUGGAUUGGACUCCCUUUAACUUUAACAUGGAAGUACUUUCUUUGACUUUCAAAAUAGUAAGUGCUUCCAUGUUUUAGUAGAAGUGAACCCAAAUUAUUCCUCCGAAUGUA
rnacentral:pre_miRNA from 12 species